CGCCCGCCUGCAGUGCUGGCCAUGGCGGCGACGGGAGCCGGAGAGCGUGCGGUCGCGGCGGGGCUCGGGGCUCUGUCUGCGCGGCCGCUGGGCUCAGCGGAGCCGCUGUCGCUCGGCUCGCUGCACGGAAAGGUGUUGCUGGUGGUGAACGUGGCGUCGCUUUGAGGCACCACCACCCGCGACUUCCUUCAGCUCAGAGACCUGCAGCAGCGGUACGGGUCUCGCGGGCUGCAGGUCCUCGCCUUCCCCUGCAACCAGUUCGGGCAUCAGGAAAAUGCGACGAACGAGGAGAUCCUGUUGUCGCUAGAGCAUGUCCGUCCCGGGAAGGGGUACAAGCCCAACUUCAUCAUGUUCGAGAAGUGCGAGGUCAACGGGAAGAACGCGCACCCCCUCUUCACCUUCCUGAAAGAGGCGCUACCCUUCCCGCAUGAUGACCCCUCCUCCCUGAUGACCAACCCGCAGUACAUCAUCUGGUCCCCAGUGUGCCGCAACGACAUCUCCUGGAACUUCGAGAAGUUCCUCAUCGGCCUGGACAGCGUGCCCUGCACUGGUGGAUGAGUUUCAUCAUCAAAAACAUUUGGGAUUUGAGGUUUUGGUUGUUGGUUUCUUUUUUUCUGUCAGUAGCUGUGGGAAUUCUGAAAGAGCCAAGGCCACGUAGUGAGCGAUCC